AGAAGUGUGAGAAACACUUCCGCCGAAAGUCCAAGGGUUCCUGCUUAAAGCUAAUCUGAGCAGGGUAAGCCGGCCCCUAAGCCGAGGGCGAAAGCCGUAGGCGAUGGGAACUAGGUUAAUAUUCCUAGGCCAGGAGGAUGUGACGGAUCAUGAAGGUUGUUCAUCCUUAUCGGAUUGGAUGGGCCGCUGAUUGGUUCCUGGAAAUAGCCCUCCAUGAGAUCGUACCCUAAACCGACACAGGUGGUCAGGUUGAAAAUACUAAGGCGUUCGGGUGAACUGUGGUUAAGGAAUUCGGCAAAAUGCCCCCGUAACUUCGGGAGAAGGGGGGCCUGAGGCGUGAAGGAACUUGCUUCCGGAGCGUUUGAAGGCCGCAGAGACCAGUGGGAAGCGACUGUUUACUAAAAACACAGGUCCGUGCGAAGUCGCAAGACGAUGUAUACGGACUGACGCCUGCCCGGUGCUGGAAGGUUAA
rnacentral:rRNA from 1 species